UACAGAGGUCCCAAGCGUUGUUCGGAUUCACUGGGCGUAAAGGGUGCGCAGGUGGGUUUGCAAGUUCGAUGUGAAAGCCCCGGGCUUAACCCGGGAAUGGCAUUGGAUACUGCAGAUCUGGAGGAUCGGAGGGGGGACUGGAAUUCAUGGUGUAGCAGUGAAAUGCGUAGAGAUCAUGAGGAAGACCAGUGGCGAAGGCGGGUCUCUGGACAGUUCCUGACACUGAGACACGAAGGCCAGGGGAGCAAACGGG
rnacentral:rRNA from 1 species